UUAAAGAAAGCGUAAUAGCUCACUGGUCGAGUCGGCCUGCGCGGAAGAUGUAACGGGGCUAAGUAGUAAACCGAAGCUGCGGCAAUGUGCUUUUGCACAUUGGGUAGGGGAGCGUUCUGUAAGCGGUUGAAGGUGUGUGGUAACGCAUGCUGGACGUAUCAGAAGUGCGAAUGCUGACAUGAGUAACGAUAAAGGGGGUGAAAAACCUCCUCGCCGGAAGACCAAGGGUUCCUGUCCAACGUUAAUCGGGGCAGGGUAAGUCGACCCCUAAGGCGAGGCCGAAAGGCGUAGUCGAUGGGAAACGGGUUAAUAUUCCCGUACUUCUUACAAUUGCGAUGGGGGGACGGAGAAGGCUAGGUGGGCCUGGCGACGGUUGUCCAGGUUCAAGUGCGUAGGCU
rnacentral:rRNA from 1 species